GACAGAGGGUGCGAGCGUUGUUCGGAAUCAUUGGGCGUAAAGCGCACGUAGGCGGCUAUGUAAGUCGGAUGUGAAAGCCCUGGGCUCAACCCAGGAAGUGCAUCCGAUACUGCAUAGCUCGAGUCUCGGAGAGGGUGGUGGAAUUCCUGGUGUAGAGGUGAAAUUCGUAGAUAUCAGGAGGAACACCGGUGGCGAAGGCGACCACCUGGACGAAGACUGACGCUGAGGUGCGAAAGCGUGGGGAGCAAACAGG
rnacentral:rRNA from 1 species